ACACUACUAUAUAACAAAUAAUUUGAGGAAACGAUCAAUAUAAAGAUGUGGUACAAGAGCGGAAGUAACCUUAUCAGCGUAGCCCUUUGUGUUACCACAUGCAUCCUAACUUUCAACUAUUGGUCCAUAUCACAAGAUAUGGUAAUUUUAGACGCUCAAGUAAAAGUUUGUCGUCAGAAAGAG